AGCAGCCGCGGUAAUUCCAGCUCCAAUAGCGUAUAUUAAAGUUGUUGCAGUUAAAAAGCUCGUAGUUGAAUUUCGGGAUCAAUACGUCGGUCGUGCUUUCGGGUACGUACUGGCGUCAUUGGUUUCUCCUUUCUGACGGACCAUGAUGUCAUUAAUUUGGUGUUGCGGGGAAUUUGGACUGUUACUUUGAAAAAAUUAGAGUGUUUAAAGCAAGCUAACGCUUGAAUACAUUAGCAUGGAAUAAUGAAAUAGGACGUUCGAUCCUAUUUUGUUGGUUUCUAGGAUUGACGUAAUGAUUAAUAGGGAUAGUUGGGGGCAUUAAUAUUCAAUUGUCAGAGGUGAAAUUCUUGGAUUUAUUGAAGACUAACUACUGCGAAAGCAUUUGCCAAGGAUGUUUUCAUUAAUCAAGAACGAAAGUUAGGGGAUCGAAGACGAUCAGAUACCGUCGUAGUCUUAACCAUAAACUAUGCCGACUAGGGAUCGGAUGAUGUUAAUUUUUUAAUGACUCAUUCGGCGCCUU
rnacentral:rRNA from 1 species